GGACAUUGAUAGGGGUCAUCGUGCUGCGAUAUGGUAUGAGCGCAAGCUUGAGCCUCUGGUCACUCGCACUCCUAAGGAAAACUGGAAGAUACACUCAGGAUGGCUUCAGCGGUUGAAAUGGGCCGGCCUUUUACCUUUCGCGCGUCUGGUUGAGUCUAUCCCGGGUGAGAAACGCCUCGCCAUCGAUGGGUCUUUGCUGAGCUGCUUAGUGGACCGUUGGAGGCCAGAGACCCACACGUUUCACUUCAGAUGGGGAGAGAUGGCUCCUACUCUGGAGGAUGUGUCACUUUUGCUCGGACUACCGUUGGCAGGUCAUGCCGUAGGACCGUUGGACGCACCGGCUGGUUGGGAGCGAGCUCUUACACAAUGUUUUCAUGGUGUUUUUCCGGAUGCUCCGGAUCCGGUAUGGGAGCAUCACGGACCUAAGUAUGAGUGGUUGCUAAAUUUCCGGAUCCAGAACUUCCGGGCGCCGUUGACUGCGGAACAGAUCACUCGGAGCCUGGAGGCCUACUUACUGUGGCUUUUCGGC